CGCACGGGUGCGUAACGCGUGGGAAUCUGCCCCUUGGUUCGGAAUAACAGUUGGAAACGACUGCUAAUACCGGAUGACGACGUAAGUCCAAAGAUUUAUCGCCGAGGGAUGAGCCCGCGUAAGAUUAGCUAGUUGGUGUGGUAAAGGCGCACCAAGGCGACGAUCUUUAGCUGGUCUGAGAGGAUGAUCAGCCACACUGGGACUGAGACACGGCCCAGACUCCUACGGGAGGCAGCAGUGGGGAAUAUUGGACAAUGGGCGAAAGCCUGAUCCAGCAAUGCCGCGUGAGUGAUGAAGGCCUUAGGGUUGUAAAGCUCUUUUACCCGGGAUGAUAAUGACAGUACCGGAAGAAUAAGCUCCGGCUAACUCCGUGCCAGCAGCCGCGGUAAUACGGAGGGAGCUAGCGUUAUUCGGAAUUACUGGGCGUAAAGCGCACGUAGGCGGCUUUGUAAGUUAGAGGUGAAAGCCUGGAGCUCAACUCCAGAAUUGCCUUUAAGACUGCAUCGCUUGAAUCCAGGAGAGGUGAGUGGAAUUCCGAGUGUAGAGGUGAAAUUCGUAGAUAUUCGGAAGAACACCAGUGGCGAAGGCGGCUCACUGGACUGGUAUUGACGCUGAGGUGCGAAAGCGUG
rnacentral:rRNA from 1 species